GACGGGGGGGGCAAGCGUUGUUCGGAAUUAUUGGGCGUAAAGGGCGCGUAGGCGGCUUGGCAAGUGGAUUGUGAAAUCCCUCGGCUUAACCGAGGAACUGCCGUCCAAACUGCUUCGCUUGAGACCGGGAGAGGUGAGUGGAAUUCCCAGUGUAGCGGUGAAAUGCGUAGAUAUUGGGAGGAACACCAGUGGCGAAGGCGGCUCACUGGACCGGUACUGACGCUGAUGCGCGAAAGCGUGGGGAGCAAACGGG
rnacentral:rRNA from 1 species